AUUGAACGCUGGCGGCAGGCCUAACACAUGCAAGUCGAACGAGUGGCGGACGGGUGAGUAAUGUCUGGGAAACUGCCCGAUGGAGGGGGAUAACUACUGGAAACGGUAGCUAAUACCGCAUACCAUCGGAUGUGCCCCGAUGGGAUUAGCUAGUAGGUGGGGUAACGUCUCCCCUAGUCGACGAUCCCUAGCUGGUCUGAGAGGAUGACCAGCCACACUGGAACUGAGACACGGUACAGACUCCUACGGGAGGCAGCAGUGGGGACUAGUGCACAAUGGGCGCAAGCCGGAGGCAGCCAUGCCGCGUGUAUGAAGAAGGCCUUCGGGUUGUAAAUUACUUUCAGCGAGGAGGCGUUAAUCGCAGAAGAAGCACCGGCUAACGCCGUGCCAGCCGCCGCGGUAAUUC
rnacentral:rRNA from 1 species